UGUCGCAUAGCUCAAUCGGAUAGAGCGCCCGGCUACGAACCGGGAGGUUGCGGGUUCGAUUCCUGCUGUGACAA
rnacentral:tRNA from 1 species